rnacentral:rRNA from 1 species
AAUGAACGCUGGCGGCAGGCCUAACACAUGCAAGUCGAACGAGUGGCGGACGGGUGAGAAAUGUCUGGGAACCUCCCUGAUGGAGGGGGAUACCUACUGGAAACGGUAGCUAUUACCGCAUAGCAUCGGAUUUGCCCCGAUGGGCUGAGCUAGUAGGUGGGGUAAAGGCUCACCUAGGCGACGAUCCCUAGCUGGGCUGAGAGGAUGACCAGCCACACUGGAACUGAGACACGGUCCAGACUCCUACGGGAGGCAGCAGUGGGGAAUAUUGCACAAUGGGCGCAAGCCUGAUGCAGCCACGCCGCGUGUAUGAAGAAGGCCUUCGGGUUGUAAAGUACUUUCAGCGGGGAGGCGUUACCCGCAGAAGAAGCACCGGCUAACUCCGUGCCAGCAGCCGCGGUAAUUC